rnacentral:rRNA from 1 species
AGGUUAAGUGAAUAACGGAGCCGUAGCGAAAGCGAGUGUUAACUGCGCGUUUAGUUGCUAGGUAUAGACCCGAAACCCGGUGAUCUAGCCAUGAGCAGGUUGAAGGUUGAGUAACAUCAACUGGAGGACCGAACCCACUAACGUUGAAAAGUUAGGGGAUGACUUGUGGCUGGGGGUGAAAGGCCAAUCAAACCGGGAGAUAGCUGGUUCUCCCCGAAAUCUAUUUAGGUAGAGCCUCGGACGAAUUCCAUUGGGGGUAGAGCACUGUUAAGGCUAGGGGGUCAUCCCGACUUACCAACCCUUUGCAAACUCCGAAUACCAAUGAGAACUAUCCGGGAGACACACGGCGGGUGCUAACGUCCGUCGUGGAGAGGGAAACAACCCAGACCGCCAGCUAAGGUCCCAAAAUAUUGCUAAGUGGGAAACGAUGUGGGAAGGCAUAGACAGCUAGGAGGUUGGCUUAGAAGCAGCCACCCUUUAAAGAAAGCGUAAUAGCUCACUAGUCGAGUCGGCCUGCGCGGAAGAUGUAACGGGGCUAAGCAAUAUACCGAAGCUGCGGCAGCAUAGUUUACUAUGCUGGGUAGGGGAGCGUUGUGUAAGUGGAUGAAGGUGAGUUGUAAAGCUUGCUGGACAUAUCACAAGUGCGAAUGCUGACAUGAGUAACGAUAAUGGGAGUGAAAAACUCCCACGCCGGAAGACCAAGGUUUCCUGUCCCAUGCUAAUCAGGGCAGGGUAAGUCGGCCCCUAAGGCGAGGCAGAAAUGCGUAGUCGAUGGGAAACGGGUUAAUAUUCCCGUACUUAUAUAAUCAGUGAUGGAGGGACGGAGAAGGCUAGGCAAGCUUGGCGUUGGUUGUCCAAGUGAAAGUGAGUAGGCUGAAGACUUAGGUAAAUCCGGGUUUUCAAGGCCGAGACACGAGACGAGCUCCCAAGGGAGUGAAGUUGUUGAUGCCCUGCUUCCAGGAAAAGCUUCUAAACUUAUGAUUAUAUGAACCGUACCCCAAACCGACACAGGUGGUCAGGUAGAGAAUACUAAGGCGCUUGAGAGAACUCGGGUGAAGGAACUCGGCAAAAUUGUACCGUAACUUCGGGAGAAGGUACGCCUCUGUUUGUGAACACUUCGCGUGGUAAGCAAAUGGAGGCCGCAGUGACCAGGUGGCUGGGACUGUUUAUUAAAAACACAGCACUCUGCAAACUCGUAAGAGGACGUAUAGGGUGUGACACCUGCCCGGUGCCGGAAGGUUAAUUGAUGGGGUUAGUUUUCGGACGAAGCUCUUGAUCGAAGCCCCGGUAAACGGCGGCCGUAACUAUAACGGUCCUAAGGUAGCGAAAUUCCUUGUCGGGUAAGUUCCGACCUGCACGAAUGGUGUAACCAUGGCCACGCUGUCUCCACCCGAGACUCAGUGAAAUUGAAAUCGCAGUGAAGAUGCUGUGUACCCGCACCUAGACGGAAAGACCCCGUGAACCUUUACUACAGCUUGGCACUGAACAUUGAACCUACAUGUGUAGGAUAGGUGGGAGGCUUUGAAGCACAGUCGCUAGAUUGUGUGGAGCCGUCCUUGAAAUACCACCCUUGUAUGUUUGAUGUUCUAACAUUGUUCCCUUAUCGGGAAUGUGGACAGUGUCUGGUGGGUAGUUUGACUGGGGCGGUCUCCUCCCAAAUAGUAACGGAGGAGCACGAAGGUUAGCUAAUCACGGUCGGACAUCGUGAGGUUAGUGCAAUGGCAUAAGCUAGCUUAACUGCGAGACAGACACGUCGAGCAGGUACGAAAGUAGGUCAUAGUGAUCCGGUGGUUCUGUAUGGAAGGGCCAUCGCUCAACGGAUAAAAGGUACUCCGGGGAUAACAGGCUGAUACCGCCCAAGAGUUCAUAUCGACGGCGGUGUUUGGCACCUCGAUGUCGGCUCAUCACAUCCUGGGGCUGAAGUCGGUCCCAAGGGUAUGGCUGUUCGCCAUUUAAAGUGGUACGCGAGCUGGGUUUAGAACGUCGUGAGACAGUUCGGUCCCUAUCUGGUGUGGGCGUUGGAUGAUUGAUGGGAGCUGCUCCUAGUACGAGAGGACCGGAGUGGACGAACCGCUGGUGUUCGGGUUGUCAUGCCAAUGGCAUUGCCCGGUAGCUAUGUUCGGAACGGAUAACCGCUGAAAGCAUCUAAGCGGGAAGCCGGCCCAAAGAUGAGUCAUCCCUGACCUUUAAGGUCUGGAAGGGUUGUUAUAGACGAUGACGUUGAUAGGCAGGGUGUGGAAGCGUUGUAAGGCGUUAAGCUAACCUGUACUAAUUGCCCGAGAGGCUUAACCA